rnacentral:rRNA from 1 species
ACGGGGAGCAGCAGGCGCGAAACCCUUACACUGCACGAACGUGCGAUAAGGGGACUCCAAGUGCGAGGGCAUACAGUCCUCGCUUUUUCCUACCGUAAGGAGGUAGGCGAAUAAGAGCUGGGCAAGACCGGUGCCAGCCGCCGCGGUAAUACCGGCAGCUCGAGUGAUGGCCACUAUUAUUGGGCCUAAAGCGUCCGUAGCUGGCCGAACAGGUCCGUCGGGAAAUCCGCUCGCUCAACGAGCGGACGUCCGGCGGAAACCAGUCGGCUUGGGACCGGAGGACCCGAGGGGUACGUCCGGGGUAGGAGUGAAAUCCUGUAAUCCUGGACGGACCACCGGUGGCGAAAGCGCCUCGGGAGGACGGGUCCGACAGUGAGGGACGAAAGCUUGGGUCACGAACCGGAUUAGAUACCCGGGUAGUCCAAGCUGUAAACGAUGCUCGCUAGGUGUGGCACUGGCUACGAGCCAGUGCUGUGCCGUAGGGAAGCCGAGAAGCGAGCCGCCUGGGAAGUACGUCCGCAAGGAUGAAACUUAAAGGAAUUGGCGGGGGAGCAC